CUGCGAAUAGAGCGGGACAAGCAAGCGACGGGGUGAAGCAAUACUAAGUGUCUUAGAAAACAUGCUGCAAGACUAGGACAGGACUGCAGGAUGCAGCAAAUCAACAGUGUCCACUCCGACCAGUUACCCUGUGGCCGACAUUUCCUAAAGGCAUCAUGGUCUCUGUAAUCUGCAGGACGUCACGUGUCGGAAGUAAAUAGGACACAACCAUAGUGCGAAAGGUCUGAGUCAAAACAGCAAAACUAAAUAUGUCCAGAUUGAAAAACAUAAAUCUGAACAUGUCUUAAGAAGCAAAAAUAUUCAUAAAAAUACAUCUGAAUUAAAAUCCUCAAAUCUAGAAAAAAUACAUUACACGAAUUAUUUACUCUUCUUAUUCCUAUUAUUUUUGUAACUAUUUCAGCUUUUAAACAACUGGGCAAAACAUUCAACUCUAUAUACUAUCCAUAUAUUACAACUAAUAGUAGCAUCAGGUAAAUGUAAUCUAUCACACUGCAUGUUUGUAGUCAAUCAAAGAAAUCUCAAAACAGCUCAGAGCAAUUAAAUAACAAAUCAAAACCUUUACUGCAGUAGUCCCAACUUUUCUUGAAAUUGGGUUCAUAUUUGAAAAGGUUGCAUCUGCCAUUUGUAUCAACAAUGACUGAUAAAUCUUGAUUUGAAUGAGUUUAUUGUGCAAGACUUAUUAGGCAAGCGUACAGAUUAAUGGCAAUGAAAUGUGGGGCUGCAUGCUGCUAGUCAGAGAACAAAAAGCAUCUAUGUAUGUACAUUCAAGUUUUAGACAAAUAGGGAAGUAACUAAUCGAACGCCGCUGAUCGCACAAACAGAUUAGCGUACCUCUACGUCUCUGACAGUGAGUACAAACACCAGGAAUUGCACAAGCAAAAUGAGAAGUUUUGUUAUUUUACAAAAAUACUAAAAUCUGAUUUUAGAGAACAUUUACAGUUUUCUUUGACGUGGCAUCUACUCCCUAAGAUGCCUUCUUCCAGCAUAGGAAAUGAAUGUCAGCAGUGGAUAUUUCAGUAGCAGAAUAUAUUGCCAAAACAACAAUGAGGCUUGGCAAAGGGAUGUAGAAUCUGACACACAGCAAUAAGUACUGAGAGUGGAAAGAUUGGAUCAACUGGCACAACAGUUUAAUACACAGCUUCAUGUUAGUUCAGUCAAAAUUACCACAAAGACUGUGUCCCAAGAACUAUCCCUGCUGCCCCAAAGGGCCACGUUGUGAGUAAGACUGUAUGUCAGUCCAUAUUAAAUCAUCUUCCACUUUUUUCCCCAACUAAAAAUAGUAGUUUAUUUAUAACUAAUUUAUAAAGUAGUUACUUGAAUACAGGCUAAUGGCUGCUGUAGUAGGAAACACACUACAAAAACAUAAUGCUGUCAUCUUGGCAUGUUUUUAUAUAGAUGCUCUCUCUCUGGAAUAAAAAUUAUAAUAUUGCAUUACAAUUAACAAUACUGUGGUAGACACUGGCUACGGGUACUCACUGACAUAAUAAAAUCUAAUUUAGAAUGAAAAAAUAUUUCAGACAAUAAACUGGAUUGGAAGAUUGCACUACAGGGUUGUCAAAGUCUUUUGGCUUUUAGCUCCAAGACGUUCCACUCCAGGCUGAACGUUCUAUUUUGAGGUUGUCUUGCCUGACACAGUUGUCAUCUGGACAGAUUGGCAACUUAUCUGCAUGUUACAGGCAGCAGAGCCUUAUGAAGAGUGUGACGGUUUUAAAAUAGUUUGAUGACGUACAACUGUGUCCCUUUUGGCAUGUAUGUUUGUGACUUGUGUGAUCUGUGGAUAAUCGCAAUAAUCAUAGCUGCCUUAAAGAGAUGAACAAUAUACUAUAACAGUGGGUGACUCCAAUGUGGACGGAUUUUAAUUUUGAAAUA